GACGUUCCCCCCUGUGUAGUAUCGCUUCAGCUCAGUGAAGAGGUCCUGAAACACCUCCGAGUUCUGCAUGUACAGCAUCCCAUAGGGUUUCCAUGUGUAGCCCUGGGGCUGUUCCAGAAGUCACUCUGUACACUGGGCUAGCCGUGAACUCACAGAGAGCCACCUGUUUCUGCCUCCUCAAUGCUGGGAUUGAAGGCAAGUGCCAUCGCCUCUCCGGCUGAUGUAAUAUUUUUGACUCUCUCAAAUUCCUUUCAACCAGUCAAAUAACCAUGUCCAGAGACUCAUCAAACAAUUGUAUCGCUAAAUGAUGCAGCUAUAAAGAACAUAACUAAGAUGGCUAUAGUGAGCAAGAAAACCAUGGGACAGCUUGGAUUGUCACUAUAAAUAUACGCUAUUUGAGCAACAGCUGGCCUUUCUGAUGUGGAGCUGUGGAAUGAAAAACUUCUAUCAACAGAGGAAUUCUUCCUUCCUACAUGUGGGUGUUCUAAAUUUCAUGGUACAUUAAAAAAGGUGGUGGAAACAGUUAGACUCACUGGUUCAUCGCAGAAGUCAUUCCACAAAUGAGUGCCUGUGGAAAACUACAUCAAGGAUUUCAUCGCAUUUUCACAUCGUAAACCAAGGCCGACAAUGUUGAAGAUAUCCAGGAGUUGGUGUAAACAUUUGUGCUGUUAUCCAUAAAUAUGUAUUUUAAUAAUAUUCGAAAUUUUAAACUCAAAUGCAGCAAUAGGCAACCAUAAUUGCAGGAUGAAGAGGAAGAGCUCUUGUUUAAGACCAGCCUGCACAACACAGAGAGACCGUCUCCUGAAAAACAGCAAAACUAUGCAAAUAAAAAAUGAAACUUUUAUUUGAAAUAAAUGACUACUAGAAAUUCAAAUC